AACCCUCCAGAGACCUCGGCACCGGCUCGCCUGGAAAACACAGAAACAUCACAUUAUUUUAAUCUUCUUAAAUCUCUUCCAAUAAACUGAACGUCUUGUUUGUGGACAUUUGAGGACGUCGUCAUUUUUAAGCUGCAACUCGACAAAAGAAGUCAAAAAAACAAAAGGAACAGGAAGUGAGGACGCCAAAUAUAGACGCAGUGGAAAAAACGAAGAAGCCAAAACAGGAAGAGACAGAUGCUGGAUUUUUCUUUUUUCUUCUUCUUCAUGUCUGAGUCAGAUUUUAAUUAAAAAAAGGAGGUAAAAACAUGGAGUUACUGGUUGAACUGCUGCUGAACUCCAGGUUCAUGUCUAUUUAAAAUAACUUAUUAUGACCUUAUUUAAAAUAUACUGAAAUAAAAUC